UAGCCAAAACGACAGAAAAUGAACUAAUUAAAACGACAGAAAAUGAACUAGCCAAAACAACAAAAAAUGAACUAGCCAAAACAACAAAAAAUGAACUAGCCAAAAAUGUGGAAAAUACUAACACGAAAACAAUAUGUUCUAAUAAUACACUAUAUAAUAAUAACAAUAAUAAUAUGUAUUGUAGUACUAAUUUUAUAACAACUGCAAGAAAAAAUAGUAUGAGUGAGGUACCAAAUACUGACGAUUAUGGAUAUAAAAAAAAUAUAAAUAACCAUGAGUCCUGUCCGAAUGAUGAUAAUUAUGUACAAACAGAAAAUACUACUAUUAUUGACAUAUCUAAUAAUGAAAGAGAACAAACAAAGUGUAAUACUGUAUCAAACGGAUAUUUGUCAAAGAAUAAUAUUUCUUUAGAUAUCAGUAGUGCUAUUAUAAAGGGUGGGUCACAGAACAGUUUCGAACAUCUGAAGGAUAUGGAAAAUAAUAAUAGUAAUAUCAGAAAGAGCAGGACUAAUAGCAGUAGUUGUGAGAAGGGAACCAAAAAAGAAUCUAGUUACGGUCCCAUUACAAAAAAAAAAAGAGGUAGAAACAAAAAAAUCCUUGAUGAUGAUUAUGAUACGGAAUUAAAAAAAAUGAAAAAAAAAAAAAAGAAUUUAAAAUGAUGAUUGAAAAUAAUAAAGCUGAAUUUACGACAAUAAAUGAAAAUGAUAACUUGUACAAAACAGUUUUAUUUGUUGAAAAAAAAAAUAAAAAAUUAUUACAAUUGAGAAAAUCAUAUCGAAGAAAAAGGAAAUUACAACUAUUAAUGAAUCUAGAAAAUAAAAAUAUAACUAAUUAUAAAAACACUUUAGAUGUAUCAUUAUUAAGCAAUAACAAAAUAAACACGGAUGAAAAAAAUAUAAAUCAAAACAAUAAUUGUAUGAAUCAAGAUGAAACAGUAACAUAUAAGCACGAUAUAGCCAAAAAUGAUUUUGUAAAAAAAAAAGAAAACAGUAAUACGAUAAAUGCUGUAAGCGAUGGACAUGCACCGGUGAAUACAAAUAACAAUUAUAAUAAUAAUAAUAACAAUAAUAAUAACAAUAAUAAUAAUGACAAUAAUAAUGACAAUAAUAAUGACAAUAAUAAUGACAAUAAUAAUGACAAUAAUAAUGACAAUAAUAAUGACAAUAAUAAUGACAAUAAUAAUAACAAUAAUAAUAAUAAUAAUAAUAAUAAUAACAAUAAUAAUAACAAUAAUAAUAAUAUUGCAGUGGGUGGUAGUAUUUUAAAUGAUAAGAUUUUAUUAACAGAUUAUGACAUUUUUUUAUCAAAUAGUAACAACCACUUGUCAACUCGUAGCAGUAUACUAUCAAAUAACAACACAACACAUUUUAUUUCACAAAAUAAAGAAAAAACAAACAAUAAUAAUGAAUUAAUUAGUGCGGUAAGUAAUGUGAAAGAUACAGAUGAGGUAAAUAACAUGAAUAAUGCUAAAAAUAAAGUGUGUUAUGAAAAAAAAAAUAAUUCUUUAAACAAUGAAAAUAAUCGUAGUAUAACAGAAGAGAUGGAUGUAACAUACACACCAUUUGGAAAAACUGGAACGAAUGUUUUUACUGAUGUAGUAUCGACAAAAGUUGUAGAAAAAGAAUCUGAAACUGUGAAGGUAAAUGAGCUGUUUUGCAUAUCAAACGAAAACGUUGAUACGGAUAUUAGAGAUACAUCAAAUGAUUUGGUCUGUGUUAAUAACAAUAAAAUAAUGUUAAUUAAUGAUGAAAAAUAUAAUUUAGAGAUGCAGGAAAAAAAUAAUAUCGCAUGUUUGAAUGAUUUAACUAGCUACAAAGAAAGUAUUAAAAAAAAUAAUUGUUCGAAUGAUAUAUUCACAUAUGUUCCUAUAAUGAAUAAUAGUAAAACACAAAAAAAAAAAAUGAAUACGAAAGAUUCAAAUAAGUUUACUUCUUAUAAUAAUAAUGAAAUAAAUGUACCUUUGUUGGUGGAUAAAGAAUCAAGAAGUAAUAUAUUAAAUUCAAAUUAUUGUGUUUUAAAUAAAAAUAUAAAAGAAGAAGAUAAGAAUAAUGAUAAGAAAGAAAAAGAAAAAAGUAAAGUGACAAGAAGAUUAAGAGAACGAAAAAAAAAAUUUAGACAAGAUGAUAUAUAUAUAUAUGAUAUUGGUACUAUCGUAGGAGGUAAUAAAAACGGAAAUUGUGACAAUAUGGCUUCUGGUACAGUUAUCGAUAUAGUUGACAAUGUAACCGAAGGUUUAUUAAAUUGUUUACCUGAUGGUGCAUCUAAUUGCUCGCCUGGUGGUGCAUCUAAUUGCUCGCCUGGUGAUGCAUCUAAUUGUUUACCUGAUGGUGCAUCUAAUUGUUUACCUGAUGGUGCAUCUAAUUGCUCGCCUGGUAGUGCAUCUAAUUGCUCGCCUGGUGGUGCAUCUAAUUGUUUACCUGAUGGUGCAUCUAAUUGUUUACCUGAUGGUGCAUCUAAUUGUUUACCUGAUGGUGCAUCUAAUUGUUUACCUGAUGACACAGUCGAUGGUGAAAAAAAAAAGAAAACAAAUAAACGUAAAACUAAAACCAAUAAUGCUUUAAAAAACGCACAUAUAAAUAAUAAUUUAAUUGUGGAUAUAUCAAGUAUAGACAAUAGCCAAACAAAUAACGAACUGGUGGUAACAGAUGGUAAUAGUAGUAGUAGUAGUAAUAGCAGUAGUAGUAAUAGUAGUAGUAGUAGUAGUACUAACAAUAAUAUGGACGAAAAUAAAAACACAAUGGUUAAGCAAGAAACAACAUAUGAAGAUAUGGUUCUUCAGAAUAAGGCAAAAUCUAGUAUAAAUAAUAAAAAUAAUAAGGAAUUCAUUGAAUAUAUUGAGAGUAAUUUUAUAAAACCUGAAAAAGAAGUUGACACACAAAAUGAUAUGGUGGAAAAUUCUGUUGGUAAUAUUAAAUGUAAGAAUGCAAAUAAAAACAUAAAUAAAACUGAAAGAAGUAUAAGAACAGAAAAUAAAAAAAAAAAAAAAGAUAACAUAACAAAAAAUAUUAAAAAAGAGAUCAAUGCCAAUUUAAAUAAAAUACCAAAAAUUAAAAAGGAAUCUAAUACUAAUAAGAAGUCUCGUAUGAAAGUUUGUUUAGAAGAUUAUUACAAAAAAAAUAAAGAAAUAUAUAUGCAUAUAGAUACAUUAAAUACUAUUAAUGAUAUAGAGUUACCAUCUAUUGAAGAUGACUCAUUUCUUGAUACCUUUGAAAUGUUUUUAAAAAAUAAAAAUAAUAAGGAUUUUGUUUGUCGAAACUGUAGUUAUCCGUAUAAAAUACAAGUGAGUACAAAAUUUGGGUUAAUAGAAAUGAUAAUGAAUAGAAACGGGAGUAGUGGUUAUACCAAUAUGAAAGAUAAAAUAGAAAUAGAAAAAACAAAUAACACAGUGAAUGUUAUUACUAAUGAAAACAUGGAAAUUCGAAAUUAUAAAAAUAAAGUGAGCGGAAUUUGUACAACAGAUUGUAACAAAUCAGAUGGUAAUAUCACUUUUGCUGCAUCUACCUUUUCAGAUAUUACUUUUUCCGAUACUAUUUUUUCCGAUACUAUAUUUUCCGAUACUAUUUUUUCCGAUACUAUCUUUUCCGAUACUACAUGUACCAACAGUAACACCAUUAGAAAUGAAAAAAAAAAACUACUAGAGUUAAACAUGGAUAUAUAUGACCAAGCAGAAAAUGAUAAAUAUAUUAACUUCGAUUUCUAUCAAAAAUUAGUAAAUGAAAAUAUACCCAUUGAAAAUUAUUGUAAAAUAACAUUUUAUUGUUUAUGUGGAUAUUCUAAAUAUACAAAGGAACAAAAUGAAUGGAAACAACUUGUAAAAUGUUAUUAUGACGAAGAAGAUGAUAGUCAACACAAAUCUCCCUACAUUUUUUGUACAAAAUGUAAAGAAAUAUUAAUGACUAGUAGAUUUUUAGAUAGAAAUAAAAGUACAAUAAUAAUGAUAUGUGAAUGUGGUAAUAGAAACUAUGAUAGAAAAAAAUGUUAUUGGACAAGAAAAGGUAACAUCAAACAAAGAAAAGCACCUCAAAUUUUAUGUGAAGAAUGUCAGUCAAAAAUGUGGGUACAUACAUGGUUAGAUGAUGUAGGAUCAAAAGUAAAAUUAUUAUGUAAAUGUGGUUUUAAAAAUUUUUUAAAAAAAGAUGAUAUAUGGGUACGAAGUCCAAGAUGGAAAAAACCAGUACCUUUAAUAAUUUGUAAUUCAUGUCAACAAAAAAUGUAUAUGAGUCAAUGGUUAAACUCAGAGGGAACCAAAGUUAAAAUGAAAUGUGAAUGUGGUUGGAAGACAUUAAUAAAAGAUGGUAAUACUUGGGUCAGAAGUGAAUGGUCUAAAAAAUUGUUAUGUAUUCGUUUAGUUAAGAAUCCAGAUUUAUUAAAUAAAAAAUAUAAUAUAUAUCCAAAAAAAAGAAUGAAAUUGGGACAAGUGAAAGAUGAAAAGGGAGUAUGCAAAGAUAAUACUAAUAUUAACAGGUUGAAUCACAUUAUCUCUGAUUGGUUUAAUCAUGUUACUGAUAAUAAUAAUGAAUAUAAAGAUUCAACAGAUAAUGGAAUAAGUAACACGUUUAAUACAGUUAAAAAUAGUAAUGACAAUUCAAAUGAUGUUUCUAUAUCUAAUAAUUAUAGCACAGAUAUUGUCCCGUAUAAUAGUAUUACAUCAAAUAAUCCAAAUAUGUUAAAUAACAACAAUGAGCAGUUGAUUAGUAACAACAAAAAUGAUACAAAUUGUAUAUCAAAGGUAUACAAAUAUAUGCAGAUGAUUCACUUAUUUAAUUUGAAUAAAGAAACAAAUUCUAAUAUAAAAAAAACAAAUAAAAAAAAGAGUAAAAAUAAAAAUGAUAAAGUUACAAAAGGAAGUAUAAAGUGCGUAAAUAAUAGUUAUAUUUCCAAUGACAUAGAUAGUAAUAAAUUGAACUCGCAUAAUUUUACAACUAAUAAACUAAGUAACAUGGAAAUCUUAUGUGAACAACCGUAUCCAAAUGGAUAUGAACCAGGACAGUACAACAAUCACUAUUACUAUCAUUACACACCAGAAUACAAUAAUCAUAAUAAUUACCAUUACACACAUAAAUACAAAAACGACUGUGACUAUCAUUAUACAUCAGAGUAUGACCACCAAUAUAACCAUCAAUAUGAUAACCAAUAUUAUAACCAAUACGAUAAUCAACACGAUAAUCAACGCGAUAAUCAACGCGAUAAUCAACGCGAUAAUCAACGCGAUAAUCAAUAUAAUAAUCAAUAUGAUAACAAAUAUGACAACCAAUAUGACAACCAAUAUGACAACCAAUAUGACAACCAAUAUGACAACCAAUAUGACAACCAAUAUGACAACCAAUAUGAUAACCAAUAUGAUAACCAAUAUGAUAACCAAUGUGACAACCAAUGUGACAACCAAUAUGAUAACCAAUAUGAUAACCAAUAUGACAAUCAAUAUGACAACCAAUACGACAACCAAUACGACAACCAAUACGACAACCAAUACGACAACCAAUAUGACAACCAGCAUAGGCAAAACGAAUCAGAAAAAGAAAAAAAAAAUGUAACAAGCAUAAACACAAUUGAUGACGUGCACUCAAAAAAUGAACAUUCAGAAGUUUCUAUGAAUAAUAAAAAUUUACCAAAAAAAAAGUAUAAAUUAUAUAUAAAUGAAAAUAAAAAAAAAAUAAAAAAAAAAAAAAAAAACACAUUAAACCAAAAUACAAAUGAUUUAUCAGAGGUGGAUAUAUCAUCUAAUAAUAUUACUGAUAUUGUUAAUAGGAAUACAGAUUUAGAUUCUACAUUUACGUAUAAUGAAGAAAUGUUAGAUAUACCAAAACGUAAAACUAAUAAAACGAAUAAGCAUAAACCAUUAUAUGAUAAACAAGAAAAAAAAAAUAGAGGUAAUAUAAUGGAAAAUAUAAAUAAUUAUUAUAAUAAUCUAAAGUUAAUUAAUACAAAAAUAAUUGAAUAUUGUGCAUCAAAUACAACUUCAUCAAACAAGUUUAAUCAUGAAAUGAAUAAUAAUAAUAGUAAUAAUAAUAAUAAUAAAAAUAAUAAUAAUAAUAAUAAUGAUGAUAAUAAUGAUAAUAAUGAUAAUAAUGAUAAUAAUGAUAAUAAUGAUAAGAAUAAGAAGAAUAAGAAGAAUAAGAAUACGGAUUUACUAACAAAUUUUAGUUCUAAUAAACAACAGAUCAAUGAUUCAAAUAAUAAAAGAAGUAUACGUUCAAAUUUAUAUGGUGAAAAUAAAAAAAUCGUGUUAGAUUAUUUUAGUAAAUAUAAUUGUAACAUGAAUAAAAAGAUUUGUCAAUUUUUAAAAACUCUAUAUUCAGAUGAUACUAUUAUUGAUAAGGUAUCAAAUAACAGAAUUAACAACGGUAAUAAUAAUUAUAAUAAAAAUUGUGAGGCGCAAAUGAAUAGUAUAAGUACAAAUGGUACAAAUGGGCUUGAUAUAGUCGACCAAGAUAUAAACAGAAUAAAUAAUAAUAAUACUUAUGUUAACAUAACUUGUGAUAAUAAGCUACAUAAGAACAAGGUACAUAAUAUUGUUAAUACUAGUAGUUUUAGUGGUAGUGGUAAUGGUAGUGGUAAUGGUAAUGGUAAUGGUAAUGGUAGUGGUANNNNNNNNNNUGGUAAUGGUAGUGGUAAUGGUAAUGGUAAUGGUAAUGGUAGUGGUAGUUAUAGUGGUAGUGGUAGUUUUAGUGGUAAUGGUAAUGGUAAUGGUAGUGGUAAUGGUAAUGGUAGUGGUAGUAGUAGUGGUAGUGGUAGUGGUGAUAGUAGUGGUGGUAGUAGUGGUAGUAGUAGUGGUGGUAGUAGUGGUAGUGGUAGUAGUAGUGGUGGUAGUAGUGGUGGUAGUAGUGGUAGUAGCAGUAAUAACAGCAGUAACAGUAGUGGAAACAAUAGUCGUAGUAGUAAUAAUUACAGCAGUAGUAAUAAUAAUAACAGUAGUAAUAAUAAUAGCAGUAGUAAUACUAAUAAAAACAACUUGUGCUCUUAUGAAAAUUAUAUAAACAAAAACAAUCCAAAUGACGUACAUCAAAAUGGGUUUUAUCAAACUACAAUGGAGGGAGGGUUGAUAUUACCGAAUAUAGAAUUUUCAAAUUCAUCUUACAAAAAAAAUACAUUUUAUAAAAAAGAUACAUAUAGUAGGAACAAUUGUUAUGAACACACUAUUGAUAAACUUGAUAAGAAAAGAAGUACAAGUGAUAAAAAAAUAAUUAUUGGUGAUAAUAAUGAGAUUUUUAAUUUAAAUAAAAUAAAAAAGAACAUAACAAAAAAUGAAAAUGUUACUAGCGAUAACAACAUUACUAGCGAUAAUAAAAACAUGGAGGGGCGAUUUAAAUCGAAUGUUGCCGACGAAAAAACGAAUAAUGAAGAUUUAGUUACGAAUGGAAAUGAAAGAAACAAAGAGUUAAAUAAUAAUGUAUUGACAAAGAGUGUCAUAACUAUGAACGACUAUCCAACAAAUACUAUAAAUUAUAACACCGCAAUGUACAACGCAAAUGGAUGCAUAAAUAAUUUAAAAAGUGUAGAUGAUAUGAAGUUAAUAAAUAACUGUAGCAAAAAUGGUAGUUGUAAUAACUAUGACGAAAACAGUAAUGUCGAUGAUUAUAUUCGUGACUAUAAAUAUAACCAAAAUGUUAUAAAUAAUGAAAGUAUUAUAAAUUGUCAAAGUUCGAUAAAUAAUAUGACCAGUUUAAAUCAUAAUAAAUCGUGUUAUAGUAGUAAUGACAAGUAUAAAUGUUUAAUUAAACAUGUUACU
ensembl:lncRNA